UGUCUUUUUGAAAAUAAUAUAAAGUCUAAUCUGCCCACUGAUUUUAAUUGAAGGGCUGCAGUAUAUUGACUGUACAAAGGUAGCAUAAUCAUUAGUCAUUUAAUUGGUGACUUGUAUGAAGGAUUGGAUGAGAUAUAAUCUGUCUCUUAAUUAUAAAAUAGAAUUUAAUUUUUUAAUUAAAAAGUUAAAAUAUGUUAAAAAGACGAGAAGACCCUAUAGAGUUUUAUAAUUUAAGAUAAUUAAGAUUAUUUAUAAAAUAAAAAUUGAAAUUAUUUUAUUUAUUUUGUUGGGGUGACAGAAAAAUAUAAAAAACUUUUUAUAUAGAAAAACAUUGAUAAAUGAUUAGAUGAUCCAAUAUUAUUGAUUAUAAGAAAAAAUUACCUUAGGGAUAACAGCGUAAUUUUUUUUUUUAGUUCACAUAAAAAAAAGAGUUUGCGACCUCGAUGUUGGAUUAAGAUAAAAUUUAAAUGCAGAAG
rnacentral:rRNA from 1 species